GAUGAACGCUGGCGGCGUGCCUAAUACAUGCAAGUCGAGCGAACGGACGAGAAGCUUGCUUUUCUGAUGUUAGCGGCGGACGGGUGAGUAACACGUGGAUAACCUACCUAUAAGACUGGGAUAACUUCGGGAAACCGGAGCUAAUACCGGAUAAUCUUUUGAACCGCAUGGUUCAAAAGUGAAAGACGGUCUUGCUGUCACUUAUAGAUGGAUCCGCGCUGCAUUAGCUGGUUGGUAAGGUAACGGCUUACCAAGGCAACGAUGCAUAGCCGACCUGAGAGGGUGAUAGGCCACACUGGAACUGAGACACGGUCCAGACUCCUACGAGAGGCAGCAGUAGGGAAUCUUCCGCAAUGGGCGAAAGCCUGACGGAGCAACGCCGCGUGAGUGAUGAAGGUCUUCGGAUCGUAAAACUCUGUUAUUAGGGAAGAACAUAUGUGUAAGUAACUGUGCACAUCUUGACGGUACCUAAUCAGAAAGCCACGGCUAACUACGUG
rnacentral:rRNA from 1 species